CAGCAGCCGCGGUAAAACGUAGGGUGCGAGCGUUAAUCGGAAUUACUGGGCGUAAAACGAGCGCAGACGGUUAUUUAAGCAGGAUGUGAAAUCCCCGGGCUUAACCUGGGAACUGCGUCCUGAACUGGAUAGCUAGAGUGUGUCAGAGGGGGGUAGAAUUCCACGUGUAGCAGUGAAAUGCGUAGAGAUGUGGAGGAAUACCGAUGGCGAAGGCAGCCCCCUGGGAUAACACUGACGUUCAUGCUCGAAAGCGUGGGUAGCAAACAGGAUUAGAUACCCCUGUAGUCCCUGUCUCUUAUAC
rnacentral:rRNA from 1 species